rnacentral:rRNA from 1 species
GCAGGGGGCAGGCCUAACACAUGCAAGUCGAGCGGAAACGAGUUAUCUGAACCUUCGGGGAACGAUAACGGCGUCGAGCGGCGGACGGGUGAGUAAUGCCUAGGAAAUUGCCCUGAUGUGGGGGAUAACCAUUGGAAACGAUGGCUAAUACCGCAUGAUGCCUACGGGCCAAAGAGGGGGACCUUCGGGCCUCUCGCGUCAGGAUAUGCCUAGGUGUGAUUAACUAGUUGGUGAUGUAAAGGCUCACCAAGGCCACGAUCCCUACCUGGUCUGAAAGGAUGAUCAGCCACACUGGAACUGACACACUGUCCCGACUUCUACGGGAGGCAGCAGUGGGGAAUAUUGCACAAUGGGCGCAAGCCUGAUGCAGCCAUG